UGCAGGUCAUGUAACUCAGGCUGUGCCCUAAUCAGCACUGGCUUUCAGUUCUCAAGGGCCAGGGCUCCUGGCAGCCAUGAAUCUCCUUUCACUAUUAAGGACCUAGAUAGGAUAUGUUGACUUCCUCCCCCCAUAGAGGGUCAAUAACUCUUUAAGGAAUUGGUAAAAGAAUACAUGAAAAAGUAAAUUUUGUGUUCAAAUAAAAAUUUCAUUUAUUAGACAAUACUGAACAGACAAAUGGACUAAGAAACUGGAGAGUCAGGUCUUGGUCGUGAUUGGAGAGUGAAGAAGAGGAGGUGGAAGAUGGCAGGUUCUUCUAUGGGCCUCUUCGCUGCUACAGGCUUACCAGUACUCCUAGAAACAGCAGGACCCAGAGCUUGCUUCUCUCUGCACCACAGGUAGUGUGCACAGUCCAAAGACCAGAAGGAAAUAGAGCAGCUGCUCCAGAUACAGCCUCACACUGCGAAUUCUCCAACAAAAGUUUCUGGCCCUUCAGUUUCAUCGGUUUAUGGGUCUGUGAGUUGGCCAUCCUGGAAUUCUUCUUGAGGUUUUGGCAGACUUUCUGAGCUGGCUGUGACAUGCCCACAAAUUUGGAGGACGUUAAUGUGUUGCACAUGUUGCUGGCAACCGUAGGCCCACCCACGAUAGACCAUGUGCAACUUGGGAGCCCAGGAGAAGUGCAUUUUCAGAACCCCAUAAUUCCACUUCCUUAUGAACACCACACAAGCCCCUGUGACAUGCGCAGAUCUGGAGACAGAGCCCUGGGAAGCCUC